AUGGCGGCCACGCCGACUACCAAGGUCCUCGUGUCCACGUUCCUCAGCUUCUUCUUCUUCCUCUUCCACGGGGCAAGCCCAGCUCCAGUGGCCAGCGUUCGCGGCUUGUCGGAGGAGGGCGACAGCUCCGCCCUUUUGGCCUUCAAGUCCGCCGUGUCCGACGACCCGAAGGGAGUGCUCGCCGGCUGGGGCGGCUCCCCGGACGCCUGCAACUGGACGGGCGUCGCCUGCGACCCGGUGACGCGGCGUGUCGUGCAGUUGGUGCUGAGAGAGCAGAAGCUCUCCGGCGAGCUCUCUUCCGCGCUCGGCAACCUCUCGCACCUCAGGGUGCUCAACCUCUCGGGCAACCUCUUCGCCGGCAGCGUGCCGCCGGAGCUCGGCAGCCUCUCCCGCCUCAAGUUCCUCGACGUUUCGUCGAACACGCUCGCCGGGACGGUCCCGCCGGAGCUCGGCAACCUCUCGAGGCUCAGCUCCCUCGAUCUCUCCGGGAACGCCUUCGCCGGGCCGGUGCCGCGGGCGCUCGGGAAGCUCUCCCGGCUGAAGCAGCUCAGCCUCGCCGACAACCAGUUCCAGGGCUCGAUUCCGCUGGAGCUCACGCGUGUCCGGAGCCUGGAAUACCUCAACCUCGGCGCGAACAACCUCUCCGGGCCCAUCCCGGCGGCCAUCUUCUGCAACCUCUCCGCCCUGCAGUACAUUGACAUGUCGUCCAACAAUCUCGACGGCGAGAUCCCCAUCCGGCCCGACUGCCUUCUCCCCAACCUGACGUUCCUCGUGCUGUGGUCCAACAACCUCGUCGGCGGCAUCCCGCCAGCGCUGGCCAAUUCGACGAAGCUCCGAUGGCUGCUGCUGGAGUCGAACUUCCUCGGCGGCGAGCUGCCGUCCGACGGCAUGUUCGGCGGCAUGAGGAACCUCGAGCUUCUGUACCUGUCGUUCAACUACUUCAGGAGCCCGCGGAACAACACCGACCUCCAGCCGUUCUUCGCCUCGCUUACCAACUGCACCGGCCUGAGGGAGCUCGGCGUCGCCGGGAACGACCUCCCCGGCACGAUCCCGCCGGUCGUCGGCCGCCUCUCCCCCGGCCUCAGGCAGCUCCACCUCGAGUUCAACAGCAUCUUCGGCCCGAUCCCGGCGAACCUCUCCGACCUCGCCAACCUCACCACCCUCAACCUCUCCCAUAACCUCCUCAACGGCUCCAUCCCGCCGGGCUUAUCGCGCUUGCAGUGGCUCGAGCGGCUGCACCUCUCAAACAACCUGCUCUCCGGCGACAUCCCGCCGUCCCUCGGCUCGUUCCAGCGGCUCGGGCUCCUCGAUCUUUCGCAGAACCAGCUCGCCGGCGCCAUUCCUCCGAGCAUCGUGCAGUGCGUCAACCUGCUGAAGCUCGAUCUCUCACACAACAUGCUCCGAGGCGUGAUCCCGGCAGGCUUGUCGGAGCUGAGCGCGUUGUUCUACCUCAACCUCUCUAGCAACCUGCUGUCCGGCGCGAUCCCGUCGACCAUCGGCGAGAUGGAUAAGCUGCAGGUGCUCAACCUGUCGUCUAAUCGGCUCUCGGGCACGAUGCCGCCGGAGCUCGGCGGCUGCGUCACGCUCGAGUACCUCGACGUCUCCGCCAACGCGCUCGGAGGCGGCUUGCCGGAGACCCUCAGCUCGCUCCAGCUCUUGCAGGUCCUCGACGUGUCCUGCAAUGGCCUCACGGGGGACCUGCCUCGGUCCUUGGAGAAUAUGGCGUCGCUGCGGCUUGCUAACUUUUCCUACAACGGCUUCUCCGGCGAGGUGCCGAGCGGUGGGGCCUUCGCGGGGUUCCCGGCGGACGCGUUCCUCGACGACGCAGGGCUGUGCGCGCGAACGGCGUCGAUGGCGUCUGUGUUGGCUAGGUGCGGCGGCGCGAAGCGCACAGUGCUCCACAACCGGCGGGUGGUGGUGCCCGUUGCCGUCACGGUCGCGAGCUUCACGGUGGCUAUCAUUGGGCUCGCCGCGUGCCGCGCGGUGGCGAGGACGACGGCGAGCGCGAGCGUGGGACGAGACGGGCGGCGAUCCACGCUGCUUUCGUACGGCGGCGACGAGCCGAUCGAGAGGGGCGACCACCCGAGGAUCUCGCACCGCGAGCUCUCUGAGGCGACGGGCGGGUUCGAGCAGUCGAGCCUCAUCGGCGCCGGGCGGUUCGGGCGCGUCCACGAAGGGACGCUCCGCGACGGCACGCGCGUCGCCGUCAAGGUGCUCGACCCGAAGACCGGAGGCGGCGAGGUCUCCCGGAGCUUCAAGCGCGAGUGCGACGUGCUGCGGCGGACGCGGCACCGGAACCUGGUGCGCGUGGUCACCACGUGCAGCCAGCCGGACUUCCACGCGCUGGUGCUCCCACUGAUGAGCAACGGCAGCCUCGAGAGCCGGCUCUACCCGCGCGACGGCCGCCCCGGCCGCGGCAUGGACCUCGCGCGGCUGGUCGCCAUCGCCGGCAACGUCGCCGAGGGGCUCGCGUACCUGCACCACUACGCGCCCGUCCGCGUCGUGCACUGCGACCUCAAGCCCAGCAAUGUGCUCCUCGACGACGACAUGACGGCCGUCGUGGCCGACUUCGGCAUCGCGCGGCUGGUCAAGGACGCCGACGGUGACGACCACGAUGGCAUCACCGGCUCCGCCGAUCCGUGCAACUCCAUCACCGGAUUGUUGCAAGGCUCCGUGGGGUACAUCGCACCAGAGUAUGGACUGGGAGGCCACCCUUCGACGGAAGGCGACGUGUACAGCUUCGGGGUGCUGCUGCUGGAGCUGAUCACCGGGAAGCGGCCGACUGACGUGCUCUUCCAGGAGGGGCUCACGCUGCACGAAUGGGUCAGGCGGCAGCGGCACCACCAGCAUGACAUCGUCGCCGUCGUUGCGCAGCCAUGGCUGGCAGACGCGAUGUUCUCGACGGUGCAAGGGGACGACGUCGUGGUCCAGCUGAUCGACCUCGGGGUCGCGUGCACCGAGCACUCGCCGCUGCUGCGACCCACCAUGGUGGAGGUGUGCCACGAGAUCGCCCUCCUCAAGGAGGACCUCGCUAAACACGGUGGCGCGGCCGCGUCGGUGGCGAUGACUGCCAGCGAGGGGUCAUGCACCACGGACUCAUCGUUCUGA
rnacentral:rRNA from 1 species